rnacentral:rRNA from 1 species
UACGUAGGGUGCAAGCGUUAAUCGGAAUUACUGGGCGUAAAGCGUGCGCAGGCGGUUAUGUAAGACAGAUGUGAAAUGCCCGGGCUUAACCUGGGAACUGCAUUUGUGACUGCAUGGCUAGAGUGUGGCAGAGGGGGGUGGAAUUCCACGUGUAGCAGUGAAAUGCGUAGAUAUGUGGAGGAACACCGAUGGCGAAGGCAACCCCCUGGGUUAACACUGGACGCUCAUGCACGAAAGCGUGGGGAGCAAACAGG